GAUGAACGCUGGCGGCGUGCUUAACACAUGCGAGUCGAACGAAGCACUUUAACCUGAUUCUUCGGAUGAAGGUUUUUGUGACUGAGUGGCGGACGGGUGAGUAACGCGUGGGUAACCUGCCUCAUACAGGGGGAUAACAGUUAGAAAUGACUGCUAAUACCGCAUAAGACCACAGAGCCGCAUGGCUCGGUGGGAAAAACUCCGGUGGUAUGAGAUGGACCCGCGUCUGAUUAGGUAGUUGGUGGGGUAACGGCCUACCAAGCCAACGAUCAGUAGCCGACCUGAGAGGGUGACCGGCCACAUUGGGACUGAGACACGGCCCAAACUCCUACGGGAGGCAGCAGUGGGGAAUAUUGCACAAUGGGGGAAACCCUGAUGCAGCGACGCCGCGUGAGCGAAGAAGUAUUUCGGUAUGUAAAGCUCUAUCAGCAGGGAAGAAAAUGACGGUACCUGACGAAGAAGCACCGGCUAAAUACGUG
rnacentral:rRNA from 1 species